UAAAGCCAUUUUUCUUUUGUAACCUCGACCAGGCAGGUCUGCUCUGGAUGCUGAUCAACAAUUUAGCUUCACUUGGAUGACUUGGAACAACCCUGACUCUUUCAAGGCUGAGUGGAAAAAUGUUCCCAGCAUGUCGAAGGAAGACCUUGCAGAUUUGUCUCCAGUUCUUAUGGCUGGUGCAUCCCACUGUGCAUUUGAUUCCCAUGUUUAAAUUCUGAGCAGAUAGCAGUCAGCCUUCACCAGAAUACUUUUUUGCAACCCCAUCAGCAUAUCAGAGAGCAAUAUUAAUGCUUUAAAGUGCAAGUCCCAGAUACCCCAGCUCUGCCAGGAGCAAGCAGCAGAGCUAAAGCAUCCAGUGGCAAAAGCCCACGUGUGCUGCGGUGAGUUGGUGGCAUCACUGCAAAAUGCCCGGCUGGACACGAGGAGCUGCACACAAGCAAACAGCCAUGAGCCAGGAAGGAAUACCAUCUUGGAGGGCCCCGUCCUUCACUUCUUCACUGGAAGUUUCUUAAAGGUUGGGGCAUCAUGUCAGUUCACUGCAGCUGCCCUUUCUUCUGCAUUCCCAGGUUAGAAAUGGUGACUUCUCUCCAGCACCCAAACCAUGCCCUCUCCUAAGACGCAGAGAAGUCUGAAACACCCAUGGAAAAGCUGCUCAGUGUUUGGCACAUACAGAAGGUCACACUUGAUGAGGUAAGAUGUUAUUUUCAAGCUUAUAGUCAAGUAUUGCAAAUAAUUACAAAAUAGAGCUCUAUAUUUAUGUAGCUGAAAGUUAUUUUAACUUGCAUUGAUCAAUGCUUGCUUCCAAUCUAAUGCAUGAAAAAGUCUAUCAAGGAUAAUGCUUAUUCACUGUGAAUCUUGGUUAGAAAUAGAUCCUCAGGUGAUACAUCCAUGAUGAGCCAUUUUAAAGAGGGUAUUAUAUGUCUCUCAAAGCCUUUUGGGAGGGAGGAGGGAAAAGGUACUUUGAGACAAUAGGAAGCUGAUUCAAUAGCUGCACAUGAGAAAGGCAGUCUCAUGGUGCAGCCUUUGCAAAACAAGCUGAGCACCACAGAGCUUUUAUGUAAUGCAAAUGAUUUAGAUGAAAUGAGAGGAAGAACUGAGAGAAACUAAGGACAGGCCCAGCAAAGGCUAAUUAAAAUGAGGUGGAUGCAAAUCUUUGCAGGAGUUUGGAAGGACCGAAGUGUUCCAUCCCUGCUGCUGUUUGCAGAGAUGUUUGCUUUCAGAUUGGCAUCAGGGACAGGUAGCUGGAGUGGUAAUCUCCUAAAGAAAUGAAUGCUUUCAUGGCCUCUCUGGGGCCAUUUAACAGACCUACAGGGCUUGAUGAAGCACAGACACAUCUCCAAAUCAGGUACUUGAUCAGUCUUCAUCCGCUAACACUGGCAGUCCUCAGUUAAUAGUUUUUGUCCAAUAAGGUAAUAGCUGAAAGGUGUUUUUCACCCUUCAUUUAAAAACUGUUGUCAAAAUACAGCAUGGGCAAGUGGUUUGCUUUAAAGGGUCACCUGUAUCAUAGUACAUGAGUGCCUCUGCUUGAGCUAGGAGCUACUUCAGCAAGUGAAAGGAAUAAAACAGGCAUCCAAAUGCUACACCGCCCAAAUCACUGCUGUGAAUGGCAGCACUACAUGGAGGGGUGACAGAGUUGAUGUGCAAAAACACAAAGGCAUCUUGGGGGCUCAGUCCAGCUGUUGGUUCUCCACUCUCAGCCCUCCACAACAUCUGCCCUGGGUACUGUGAACAUCUCCCCAGAACCAGGUAUGGAAACCCUGAGUUAAUUGUCACUGAAUGAAACCAUUUUUUUCCUGAAUGCCCUUUACUUAUUAAAGUAGUUCAUGACUAGGAGGGGGUGAGACAGCCAGGAUAUAAUUAGAAGUGCAUUCAUCACUCCUGCUGGUAAUUGUUUUCUAAGAACACAUAAAAAGAGAAUCGAUUGCUUUCUGGAGUGCCUCAUCACGCUGCAGGUACCACUCACAAAUCACAUGGAGCUGGGGAGCCCAGCCCUAUCCCUGGCAGUGUUCAUCUCCAUGAUGCACCCCACUGUUCUGUGUCCAUGGGGGAUGUGGGAGCAAUGGAAAGAAAAAUGAGACCCCAUCGAGAGAGAUUUAUGGGCCUGGGAAGCAAAUGCCUGUGAUGGCAGCCUGGUCCCAGCUCUUAGAGCUGCUUUGUGAACUGCUGGAACUUGGGCCAUUUGCAAAGUGCAAAAUAAAAACAAUAGAAAAUGAAGUAAAUGCGUUUCUUCAGGUUUGGGAUUCAGGCUCCACCUUGGUUGUGACACAGUGCAUCAAAAUACCUUUAUUUUUGAUAACUGACUGCAAAUGAUGCAUUUCUGGAUCUGGCAGGGAAGGGCUUAAAAGCCUUCCUGUAAGAAUGAGGCCAGUUGACCUGUGCCUUGGCUGUUUAUUACACAAAAUGAAAGUGGGUAUGAAAUGCUGCUGAAUCAAACUGGCAGUGCUCUACCAGAUGCAUACCAUACUCUUAUCAAUACCUUUAUGCUUAUGACUGUGCUGAAGAUUAUUUUCUGGGGCCCUCAAGACAAGAGGGGUAUGAACCUGCUUGAACAAGUCCAAAGAAGGGCCACAGAGAUGCUGCGAGGGCUGGAGCAGCUCUGCUCUGGAGCCGGGCUGAGAGAGCUGGGCUGGGUCAGCCUGGAGAAGAGAAGGCUCCUGAAGGGGAGACCUGAGAGCAGCUCCAGUGCCUAAAGGGGCUGCAGGAAAGCUGGAGAGGGGCUUGGGACAAGGGCCUGUAGGGACAGGCCAAGGGGAAUGGCUUUAACCUGCCAGAGGGGAGACUG